ACACUUACCAAGGUGGGGUUGAUCUAUGAUAAGGAAGGUGGAUGGCCUAGAGGAGCUUGGUCCAUUACAUUGACAGGGUAGGUGGCUCUACUAUCUCUCAACAGAGAGCAUACACAUCAUAAUUUGUGGCAAUGGGGGGUUGCAUUUGCAUGAUCUUG